UACACUCCUACGGGAGGCAGCAGUGGGGAAUAUUGGACAAUGGGCGCAAGCCUGAUCCAGCCAUGCCGCGUGAGUGAUGAAGGCCCUAGGGUUGUAAAGCUCUUUCACCGGUGAAGAUAAUGACGGUAACCGGAGAAGAAGCCCCGGCUAACUUCGUGCCAGCAGCCGCGGUAAUACGAAGGGGGCUAGCGUUGUUCGGAUUUACUGGGCGUAAAGCGCACGUAGGCGGACUAUUAAGUCAGGGGUGAAAUCCCGGGGCUCAACCCCGGAACUGCCUUUGAUACUGGUAGUCUUGAGUUCGAGAGAGGUGAGUGGAAUUCCGAGUGUAGAGGUGAAAUUCGUAGAUAUUCGGAGGAACACCAGUGGCGAAGGCGGCUCACUGGCUCGAUACUGACGCUGAGGUGCGAAAGCGUGGGGAGCAAACAGGAUUAGAUACCCCUGUAGUCC
rnacentral:rRNA from 1 species